CCUACGGGUGACAGCAGUGGGGAAUAUUGCUCAAUGGGGGAAACCCUGAAGCAGCGACGCCGCGUGAGGGAAGAAGUAUUUCGGUAUGUAAAGCCCUUUUAGCAGGGAAGCAAAUGACGGUACCUGACCAAGAAGCCCCGGCUAACUCCGUGCCAGCAGCCGCGGUCAUCCGGAGGGGAGAAGCGUUAUCCGGCAUUACUGGGUGUAAAGGGAGCGUAGGCGGGUGGGCAAGUCUGGAGUGAAAUGCGGGGGCUUAAACCCCGGACUGCUCUUGAAACUGGCAGGCUUGAGUGCGGGAGAGGUAAGUGGAAUGCGUGGUGUAGCGGUGAAAUGCGUAGAUAUUAAGAAGAACGCCAGUUGCGAAGGCGGCAUACUGGAGCGUGACUGACGCUGAGGCACGAAAGCGUGGGGAGCAAACAGGAUUAGAUACCCGUGUAGUC
rnacentral:rRNA from 1 species